CUUGUACUCCCUCCAUCCGAAAAUACUUGUCAUUGAAAUGGAUAUAUCUAGAUGUAUUUUAGUUCUAGACACAUCCAUUUUGAUGACAAGUAAUUCCGGACGGAGGGAGUACUUG
rnacentral:pre_miRNA from 1 species